UUUAAUAGGCAAACUUAAAGAAAUUUAAGGACGCAAAGCUACAGGGACUAAAGUGUUAAUCAAAGUCAGCCAGUUGCCAA
rnacentral:ncRNA from 1 species